rnacentral:rRNA from 1 species
AUGUCAACAGAAAGAUACUAUGAUUCACAAGUUUUUAGGGGAAGUAAAGAUGGAAAGAGGAAGGUGGCAUGGGUUUAAUGGGAUGAUCUAGCUAUGCCGAAAUAUUUGGACGGUCUUAACUUCAGGGACACUCAGCUCUUUAAUCUAGCUAUGAUAACUAAGCAGGCAUGGCGAUUAGUCCAAGAUGAAACUUCAUGAAGUGCAAGAAUACUCAAGGCAGUAUACUAUCCUAUGCGAGAUGUGCUAAGUGUCAAGCUGGGAUCUCACCCAUCUCACGUUAGGUAGACUUUAAUUGAAGGGAUCUCAGUGUUGAAGCAGGGCUUGAUCGGGCGCAUAGGGAAUGGGCUCUCGACGAGAAUUUGGGAUGAUAAUUGGCUUACACGUGACAAUAUGUCGAGGGCUCUCCAUCCUCGGUUUGAUGACACCUCCAUGAUGGUGGCAUAA